UUGCAUAUCUAGCGGAGGAAAAGAAACCAACAGGGAUUGCCCCAGUAGCGGCGAGUGAAGCGGCAAAAGCUCAGAUUUGGAAUCGCUUCGGCGAGUUGUGAAUUGCAGGUUGGCGCCUCUGCGGCGGCGGCGGUCCAAGUCCCUUGGAACAGGGCGCCAUUGAGGGUGAGAGCCCCGUGGGACCGUUUGCCUAUGCUCUGAGGCCCUUCUGACGAGUCGAGUUGUUUGGGAAUGCAGCUCUAAGCGGGUGGUAAAUUCCAUCUAAGGCUAAAUACUGGCGAGAGACCGAUAGCGAACAAGUACUGUGAAGGAAAGAUGAAAAGCACUUUGAAAAGAGAGUGAAACAGCACGUGAAAUUGUUGAAAGGGAAGGGUAUUGCGCCCGACAUGGAGCGUGCGCACCGCUGCCCCUCGUGGGCGGCGCUCUGGGCGUGCUCUGGGCCAGCAUCGGUUUUUGCCGCGGGAGAAGGGCGGCGGGCAUGUAGCUCUUCGGAGUGUUAUAGCCUGCCGCCGGCGCCGCGAGC
rnacentral:rRNA from 1 species